GACGAACGCUGGCGGCGUGCUUAACACAUGCAAGUCGAACGAAAAGAGGGAAAGAGCUUGCUCUUUCCGGUAUUGAGUGGCAAACGGGUGAGUAACACGUAAACAACCUGCCUUCAGGAUGGGGCCAACAGACGGAAACGACUGCUAAUACCGAAUAAGUUCCAAGAGCCGCAUGGCCCAUGGAAGCAAAGGUGGCCUCUACCUGUAAUCUAUCGCCUGUAGAGGGGUUUGCGUCUGAUUAGCCGGCUGGCGGGGUAACGGCCCACCAAGGCGACGAACAGUAGCCCGACUGAGGGGGGGGACGGCCCACACGGAACUGGGACACGGGCCAAACCCCUAAGGGAAGCAGCAGUGAGGGAACUUCCGGAAAGGGGCGAAGCCUGACGGGGGAAAGCCGCGUGGGGGAUGAAGGCCUUCGGGUUGUAAAACUCUGUGUACCGGGGAGAAAAGGCAGAGUACGAAGAAGAGCCCGCAUUGACGGUACCGGAAAAGAAAGCCACGGCUAACUACGUG
rnacentral:rRNA from 1 species